rnacentral:rRNA from 1 species
CCCGCUGAACUUAAGCAUAUUAAUAAGCGGAGGAAAAGAAACUAACAAGGAUUCCCCUAGUAACGGCGAGUGAAGCGGGAUGAGCUCAAAUUUAAAAUCUGGCUGGUGUCCAGCCCGAGUUGUAGUUUAAAGAGACGUUUUCGGUGGCACCUGGGUAUAAAUUCUUUGGAAUAGGAUAUCAUAGAGGGUUAUAAUCCCGUCUUUGACUCGGCACUUGCUACUAUGUGAUACGUCCUCAAAGAGUCGAGUUGUUUGGGAAUGCAGCUCAAAAUGGGUGGUAAAUUUCAUCUAAAGCUAAAUAUUGGCGAGAGACCGAUAGCGAACAAGUACCGUGAGGGAAAGAUGAAAAGAACUUUGAAAAGAGAGUUAAACAGUACGUGAAAUUGUUGAAAGGGAAACGUAUGAACCCAGUCAUGUUUGCAGGAAAUCAGCCAUCUUUGCUGAGUGAUUUUGGGUAGAGAGUGCAAACCUCUGCUUAGGAUCUUCGAAGUAAAGUUAGGUGUACUUUUCUGUUGACAGGCCAGCAUCGGUUUUGUCUGCCGGAAAAACUCUAAGGAAUGUGACCCGUCCUCGGAUGGGUGUUAUAGCCUUGGAACGAUACGGUGGCUGGGACCGAGGAAUGCAGCUCGUGCUUUUUGGCUGGAAGUGCUUGGGCUCACGGGUGUCUGCCUGUUUACGCUGCUUGCAGAUGAACAGGUACCAACUGUGACUCCCUUGUUCCUUCACACACCGAGCUUAGGAUGCUGGCGUAAUGGUUUUAUACGACCCGUCUUGAAACACGG